rnacentral:rRNA from 1 species
GACAGAGGGUGCAAACGUUGUUCGGAAUUACUGGGCGUAAAGCGCGUGUAGGCGGCAGGGCAUGUCGGAUGUGAAAUCCCGUGGCUCAACCACGGAAGUGCACCCGAAACUGCCCAGCUCGAGUCUCGGAGAGGAAGGCGGAAUGCUUGGUGUAGAGGUGAAAUUCGUAGAUAUCAAGCGGAACACCGGUGGCGAAAGCGGCUACCUGGCCCAUUCUUGACGCUGAGGCGCGAAAGCUAGGGGAGCAAACGGG